CGAGGCCUUCGGGUCUAGUGGCGCACGGGUGCGUAACGCGUGGGAACCUGCCUUUAGGUUCGGAAUAACAGAGAGAAAUUACUGCUAAUACCGCAUAGCCUUGGAAACAAGUAAAGAUUUAUUGCCAAAGGAUGAGCCCGCGUCAGAUUAGGUAGUUGGUAGGGUAAUGGCCUACCAAGCCGAUGAUCUGUAGCUGAUUUGAGAGGAUGAUCAGCCACACUGGGAUUGAGAUACGGCCCAGACUCCUACGGGAGGCAGCAGUAAGGAAUAUUGGACAAUGGGGGAAACCCUGAUCCAGCAAUGCCGCGUGAAUGAAGAAGGCCUUCGGGUUGUAAAGUUCUUUCGCUUACGAUGAUAAUGACAGUAGUAAGAUAAGAAGGUCCGGCUAACUCUGUGCCAGCAGCCGCGGUGAGACAGAGGGACCUAGCGUUGUUCGGAAUAACUGGGCGUAAAGGGUGCGUAGGUUGUUACUUAAGUAAAGUGUUAAAUCCUUGGGCUCAACCCAAGAACCGCAUUUUAAACUGGGUGACUUGAGUGUGGGAAAGGAAAGUGGAAUUCCUAGUGUAGAGGUGGAAUUCGUAGAUAUUAGGAGGAACACCAGAGGCGAAGGCGGCUUUCUAGAACACAACUGACACUGAGGCACGAAAGCGUGGGGAGCAAACAGGAUUAGAUACCCUGGUAGUCCACGCCCUAAACGAUGAGUGCUAGACGUUGGAAUUUUAUUUCCAGUGUCGCAGCUAACGCGUUAAGCACUCC
rnacentral:rRNA from 1 species